GUGCAUUUCUUGUUUACCUUUUAUAUUGACAACGUAAUUGUCUGGUUGAAAUAUUAUAGAUAAUUUAGGCUACAAAACAACCUGAGGAUUGAAUAUAAACAUUGUUUGACAUGUUUCUAUUAACUUUACGGAUACCAUUUGGAUUUUUUUGUCUGAUUGUUUUGACUGAGUUUGAGCCUGUGGAUUACUGAAGAACACGCGCUAACAUGAUACAAAGAGACUUCAUCGAACAAAAGGAACAUUUAUUGAGUAAAUUAAUGUCUUUUGAUUGCCACCAUAUGAAGAUCAUCAAAGUCCAAUGGGCUGGACCUCCAGCUGUGAUGCGUG
ensembl:lncRNA